AGCAACAUGGAUGGACCUGGAGAUUACCAUACUAAGUGAAGUCUCUCACCAGGGUUCGGUUGGUAUGGAGGCACCAAGACAUCAGGAUCUGGGAUUCUUCUAUCCUUUUGCCACCAUCCUCAAUAUAUGGCUUCCACCUCAUGGUGUGAAAUCCAGCUGCAAGUCUGUUUUCUAUCCAUCAGGGAGAAGCAAGGACGAGGGUGCCUGCCCCCUUCCCUUGAGAUUACAUUCUAGAGGAAAGGAUUCAAGGUGAACAGAGAAGUGGACUCACAUGUGUACACUAAGAGAUAGGUA